AAAAUAUUGAACUUGUGAAUUACAGGUGGUACAAACAUGUCACAACUUCACACUUGUAAUUCAAAAGUUCAAUUUCCAGUGUGUUUAUCAUGUGCAAUACUGCACAUGACUCACACAUGGCUAGUUUCAUUUUUCUCUUUCAGUUUUUGUUUUUGUAUUGUAAGCUCUCUUUGGUUGAAAAUGUCAAAAUCCGUCACAAUGACCAACAAAGUUGCUAUUUUGAAAGAAAUUAAAGAAAAUAAGGACUAUUUGGAGCAUUCUCAAAAACAUUGAGUAAAACCCAAAAAUGUGACGCUUGGAAGACUAUACACAACAAAAUAGCUAGUUUAAGAUUGAUACCACCGAAGAAAGAAUGGACAUAUAUA
rnacentral:lncRNA from 1 species